rnacentral:rRNA from 1 species
UGAGGAAUAUUGCGCAAUGGGCGAAAGCCUGACGCAGCGACGCCGCGUGGGGGAUGAAGGUUUUCGGAUUGUAAACCCCCUUUUGUGAGGAAAGAUAAAGUGGGUUACCACUUGGACGGUACCUCAAGAAAAAGCCACGGCUAACUUCGUGCCAGCAGCCGCGGUAAUACGAAGGUGGCGAGCGUUGUUCGGAUUUACUGGGCGUAAAGAGCACGUAGGCGGUUGGGUAAGCCUCUUGGGAAAUCUUCCGGCCUAACCGGAAAAGGUCGAGGGGAACUGCUCAGCUAGAGGACGGGAGAGGAGCGCGGAAUUCCCGGUGUAGCGGUGAAAUGCGUAGAGAUCGGGAAGAACAUCAGUGGCGAAGGCGGCCUGCUGGACUGUAGCUGACGCUGAGGCGCGACAGCGUGGGGAGCAAACAGGAUUAGAUACCCUGGUAGUCCACGCCGUAAACGAUGGGCACUAGGCGUCGGGGGGAGCGAACCUCCCGGUGCCGUCGCUAACGCAGUAAGUGCCCCGCCUGGGGAGUACGGCCGCAAGGCUG